rnacentral:misc_RNA from 1 species
AGCAGCCGCGGUAAUUCCAGCUCCAAUAGCGUAUAUUAAAGUUGUUGCAGUUAAAAAGCUCGUAGUUGAAUUUCGGGGUUAGUAGGUUGGUCAUGCCUCUGGUAUGUACUGGUCUCACUGAUUCCUCCUUCCUGAUGAACCUUAAUGCCAUUAAUUUGGUGUUUUGGGGAAUUUGGACUGUUACUUUGAAAAAUUAGAGUGUUUAAAGCAGGCAUUUUGCUCGAAUACAUUAGCAUGGAAUAAUAGAAUAGGACGGCAUGGUUCUAUUUUGUUGGUUUCUAGGAUCACCGUAAUGAUUAAUAGGGAUAGUUGGGGGCAUUAGUAUUCAAUUGUCAGAGGUGAAAUUCUUGGAUUUAUUGAAGACUAACUACUGCGAAAGCAUUUGCCAAGGAUGUUUUCAUUAAUCAAGAACGAAGUUAGGGGAUCGAAGACGAUCAGAUACCGUCGUAGUCUUAACCAUAAACUAUGCCGACUAGGGAUCGGAUGAUGUUAAUUUUUUAAUGACUCAUUCGGCGCCUUA